rnacentral:rRNA from 1 species
GAUGAACGCUGGCGGCGUGCCUAAUACAUGCAAGUCGAGCGAACAGACGAGGAGCUUGCUCCUCUGACGUUAGCGGCGGACGGGUGAGUAACACGUGGAUAACCUACCUAUAAGACUGGGAUAACUUCGGGAAACCGGAGCUAAUACCGGAUAAUAUAUUGAACCGCAUGGUUCAAUAGUGAAAGACGGUUUUGCUGUCACUUAUAGAUGGAUCCGCGCCGCAUUAGCUAGUUGGUAAGGUAACGGCUUACCAAGGCGACGAUGCGUAGCCGACCUGAGAGGGUGAUCGGCCACACUGGAACUGAGACACGGUCCAGACUCCUACGGGAGGCAGCAGUAGGGAAUCUUCCGCAAUGGGCGAAAGCCUGACGGAGCAACGCCGCGUGAGUGAUGAAGGUCUUCGGAUCGUAAAACUCUGUUAUUAGGGAAGAACAAAUGUGUAAGUAACUAUGCGCGUCUUGACGGUACCUAAUCAGAAAGCCACGGCUAACUACGU